UUUUAUUAUGUAAUCACUAUAUAAUCACUGUAUAAUCUGCCACUAUUAAAAUACACUGUUAAAACAUAUAGAAAUACAUUCAAGGGAUGCAGAGCAAAACACACAGAAGUAAACAGCGGUGAAGUAAGACCAUUCAGACAGCAUAUGCAACACGUAUUGAUGUAUUGACCAUGACAAAAACAAUUUAAAAACAACUUUGCUCAACCUGCAUGGCAAUAGCAUGCAUAGGGAGAAUCAUUUAAAAAGUGUUGAAAUAUGACCUUUAGGAUGUGCAAAAACAGAAAAACAUACAGCCAUCAAUAUAAAGGCUAGAAUCCUAUUGGAGCCUGGAAAUAACGUGAUGCUCAUGCUACACCACUGUUUCAUGAUGACUAUAGGAAAAACCUGUAUAUAAACUGUGGGUUUUGGAACAUUGGUAGGAGAGAGAUCGAUCGACCAACUCUGCUGUAACAAUAAACUGCUUCAACUUGACAACUUCGAAGACCUCAGCCUCUUUUUUGAAACUUAGAAGAUGUUUGACGAGAUCCAGCGCAACUUUCCACAACACAUCCUACUGUUAAAUCAAAUUAAUGGUCAUGGGCGCACCACGUCUAAUCCUCUUUGCCAUUAAAAAGCAUGAGGAAGCAUCUGCAGAUAAACAAAGAUCCAUCCUGGCACAGGUUACUGCAUUUUUUUUGUACAUACAGGUGAACUACCUGGUGAAACUAUCCUUGAAGAGUGACCAUGAAUACAGUUGCAUCAGAAUGACAUAUUUUGUGCCUAGUUUAAAACAGAAAACUAACAAGAAAUCUAAGCUUUGUAACAUCCUUGGUAACAUGAACUUGGUCUCACACAACUAUCAACCAUUUUCUAUAUAUUUUUAUUAUUGCCUAUAAUUAUUAUAUCAUACAUUAAACUCAAGCUAAAAGUUUGAGAAUUACAGAAGGUGAAAGAUAGGUGAGACACUAAAAGGUGUCUAAUGAGGAAUCUAUUUUUAGUGAUUUUAAAGUUAGGCCCACUUAAUUUUAAACAUGGUAA